GACGAAAUGAUCGAACCUACACCUGACAAACUACUAUACUUAUACACUGCUUAUCAGGAUUGCUACGACACGAUUAAACAAACGAUACGUAAAAACGCCGCAACGUCCAAUUUAAAAACAUUCGAGUUUAUCGAUUGCAAAAAAGGUAUCCCUACAAUUGAAUUUCUUAAAAGCAAAUUGGGCACGGCAACACUAUUAAUUUUAGAUGAUCUGAUGAUUUUAGCGGCUGCAACCACUAAGGAUACGGAAAAUUUAAAUAACAUAGCAUCACGUGACAGCCAUCAUUUUAAUACCUCCGUUAUUUUUGUAUGUCAAAAUUUAAAUUACGGUAAUGGAAAAUUGCGUAAUGUUCGUGUCAACAGUCAAUAUCAUUUGAUGUUUAAGAAUCGCUCGGACAGUAGAGAUGUAGAAAUGAUUGGGUCGAAUAAGAAAAUUAAAUUAGAGAAAUUAAAUAAUAUCAUGCAUGAUAUUGGACAAAAACAACAUGGAUAUUUGUUGUUUGACGGUGCGGCACGGGGUUGUGAUAAUACACGUGUACGUACGGGUAUCUUACCCAAAGAUGAUACCCUUAUUUAUGAUUUAGC